rnacentral:lncRNA from 10 species
AGAGUAAGCUCACAAACUGUUAAAUACUGUUUUCCUUUGGGUAAAAUUUUAAUUAAAAAAGCAGCAUGGAUGCAGAUUUCAGAUCGUCACUAUUCAAAUAGCUGAGAAAGCUGUUUGAAUUUUAAAAACUCACAGUAUAUCCUUUAAAAACGUUUUUUGCAUGUAUUUAAAUAUGAUUUUAUCAAAGUUUGUAAGAUCACAGUAGAACAAUGGAAAUCCAGGAUCUGGUCUCCCUAUGUUGCCCAGGCUGGUCUCACCCUCCUGGCUUUAAGAGAUCCUCUCGUCCUGAUCCCCUGAAGCACUGGGAUGAGUCACUGCACCCAGCCAAGCAGGCAAUUGUUUUACAAGGCAUGGGAAGACAUUCUGACCUUUGCAAUUCAAUGGCCUGGGACAGAAGUGGUGACCAUGGGAACUGUUUACAUCACCGUUCGAUGACAUGAGGCACUGAGGAGUAAGAGAGCAACAGUUCUCACUUUCUUCUUUAGUAAACAUAAUUUGGGGGGGUGAAAGGCUUUUUGUAGAAAUCUUUAAAAUGUAUUAUGCAUAUGUGAAUGUACAUGUGAAAUUUAUAAUCUGGGAAAUCUGAGUAUACAGAUUCUUGCAUAAUAUACAUCAGCUAAUUGCAUCUGUUUCCAAUUGUAUGGUGUGUGAUAAAAAAAAAUGCUGUACUUAUAUGGGGAAAUUUGACCAAGGUGUCCCAGAACAUGUCUCUGUUUAACAGAAUGCAUUUGGAAAAAAAAAACAAAAACACAAACCUUGGGAUUUCUUACCCACUAUCAUAAAUGUUGAAGACAGACAUCUUUUUUUAACUCUACAAUACGGUCUGCCUGUGCUUUAGAUGCUAUCUAAAGUAGAACUACAUGUGAGAAGAGAGAACAGCUGUUAAUACAUGAAUGAUGAAUAAGACUUCAUCAUGAUGAAGUUUCUGUUUUGAAGAUUUCCGACAGCACACUCUGAUUUCUGUUUUGAGACUUGCCUCUCAAAACUAAAGAAAUCAACAGCCAUACCAAUACCUCUAAGUACCUGACAAUGGAGUAGGACAAGUGACAACUGACUCAUCAGCCUCCAAACACUUCUCCUUACAGUGUACCUUGAUUCUAUGCAAGGACUAAGGAAAGGUUAAAAUGCAAAUAUAUUACUAUUUGGAACAAUACAUUAUUAAUCUAUCAUUAUCAUUAACUUUUGGAAAAACAAAAGUAAUUUCAUCAGAUUAAUAAAAUAAAUUCUAAAUAAAAUUAAUUCCAAGAAAAUUUCCUAUCCAUCUAAGGGUAGGAAAAAUCAGUCAGAAAAAAAAAAAAAUGUCAUUCUGCAGAAUACCAGCUUGGAAGAAACCUGAUAUUAAAAUACCACAUGAAGACACGAAGAGGAACAUAAGGAGAAAAGAUCAUUCAUGGAACAACUUUUGUCUAGGAAAACCCUCAUUCACAAUCUGUGUCUAGAAACUAAAAAAGCAAUUGCAUUGAAUUUGGAACAUAUACAAUGAUGAUAAACUAUAAUUUACCUAACUGACUGUAUUGUUUGGUUAAUUGAGAUAAAUUAAUUAGAGGAGAAAAACUGAUGUUAUAAGUUUAGAAUAUCUUGCAUUGCAAAUGACCAAUUGAUUUUUCAAAGUGUUCUGUUUUAAAGAAAGUUGCACUAUAGAAUGUUAUUUUGUUUUAAAAGAAGAUAAAGUAUUGCAAAAAUGAGUGACUUAAAACAAUGUGUGAGACAUUGUUUAAAUUGAUGCAUUUUGAGCUACAAACCAAAAAUGUAUAUAUAAUAUAGAAAUUAUUAUAGGUAUUAUUUAUUUUUUACUAGUAUUGCACAUAUUUUUAAAAGCCCAAUUAUCUUUUUGAUCACAUUAUAAUUUAUCUUGCUUUUGAAUAUCUAGGGACAACAUAGAAAAUGUUUUAAAAUCUUUAAAAAAAUGUUAAUAGCAUUAAGGCAUUUUCCCUAACAAACGAACUGUAGGAAAAUAUAAGACUUUUCAAACUAUAAGGGCAUUUAAUGAUAAAUGUAUGUAUUAUUCAAGCUUCUGAUUAAGAUGAACAAACAUUAACAGACUAAAGCAGCUGUAAUAAUGCAAUGAUUUAAAACAAUAAAAAUGCCUCUGUAAAUAUUAAGUCAAUAACUUUCUUCUGAAAUAUAAAAUGUGCUUGCCACAGAAAAUUAAUAUGAUUUCUCGCAUGUAAAUUACCAUAUUUUAAACAAAAGAUAUCCUCAAGAACCAUUUUAAUCUUUGCUAUAUUUUACAUAUAGUACUUUCAAAUUCAUAUUUCAGCAUUGACAUAUUUCAAAUAAAGAAAAU